rnacentral:rRNA from 1 species
UGUCCAGACUCCUACGGGAGGCAGCAGUGGGGAAUAUUGGGCAAUGGGGGAAACCCUGACCCAGCGACGCCGCGUGAGGGAAGAAGGUUUUCGGAUUGUAAACCUCUGUCCUUGGUGACGAUAAUGACGGUAGCCAAGGAGGAAGCCACGGCUAACUACGUGCCAGCAGCCGCGGUAAUACGUAGGUGGCAAGCGUUGUCCGGAUUUACUGGGUGUAAAGGGCGUGUAGCCGGGCUGACAAGUCAGAUGUGAAAUCCGGGGGCUCAACCCCCGAACUGCAUUUGAAACUGUUGGUCUUGAGUAUCGGAGAGGCAGGCGGAAUUCCUAGUGUAGCGGUGAAAUGCGUAGAUAUUAGGAGGAACACCAGUGGCGAAGGCGGCCUGCUGGACGAUGACUGACGUUGAGGCUCGAAAGCGUGGGGAGCAAACAGGAUUAGAUACCCCUGUAC